GACGAACCGUACGAACGUUAUUCGGAAUCACUGGGCUUAAAGGGUGCGUAGGCGGCGCGACAAGUUGGGUGUGAAAUCCCUCGGCUCAACCGAGGAACUGCGCCCAAAACUGUCGUGCUCGAGGGAGACAGAGGUGAGCGGAACUUAGGGUGGAGCGGUGAAAUGCGCAGAUAUCGGGAGGAACACCGGUGGCGAAGGCGGGUCUCUGGGCCGAUACUGACGCUGAGGAGCGAAAGCGUGGGGAGCGAACAGG
rnacentral:rRNA from 1 species